GAUGAAGAACGUAGCGAAAUGCGAUAAGUAAUGUGAAUUGCAGAAUUCAGUGAAUCAUCGAAUCUUUGAACGCACAUUGCGCCCCUUGGUAUUCCAUGGGGCAUGCCUGUUCGAGCGUCAUUUGUACCUUCAAGCUCUGCUUGGUGUUGGGUGUUUGUCUCGCCUCUGCGCGUAGACUCGCCUCAAAACAAUUGGCAGCCGGCGUAUUGAUUUCGGAGCGCAGUACAUCUCGCGCCUUGCACUCAUAACGACGACGUCCAAAAGUACAUUUUUACACUCUUGACCUCGGAUCAGGUAGGGAUACCCGCUGAACUUAAGCAUAUCAAUAAGCGAGGA
rnacentral:misc_RNA from 1 species